rnacentral:lncRNA from 1 species
GGGGGGGGGGGGGCCUUCAGACAUUUGUGCCCAGGGGCCUAUGAUUUGUUAAUCCGGCCCUGAGGCCCAAGGGGCGGGACCUCGGCCCUCUGCUGUGUGUGUGAUAGGGCCAGGGCCAGCCCAGAACCAAUCAUAAUGAGUUAUGGCCUGGGCCAAAGUUUUAUUGAACUUUCAGGUUAAGUUGAUAGCCCGCACGACCGAGAGGGAAGGAACGGACCUCGGCCCUCGACUGUGUGACAUGGCUGGGCCGGGCCGGGUCCAUUAAAAAUAAAAUAAAAAAAAAGUAAACCUCAAGUAAACCUCGUCGGCCCAAAAAAGGCCUACCAGCCCACCGGGCAUUGCCCGGUACGCCCGAUGGCCAGUCCAGCCCUGGACAGAGCUGCCUUCAGUUUUGGGCCAUGAACAGGUGCACCCUCCCUUCUUUGUUCAAGGUGGAGGUAAGAGUUAUGGCAGUCCCUGCAUCAAGUGCACCUGUUGAACGUGUGUUCAGCCAUGGUGGGGUGAUAAUGUGACCCCAUCAUUCACAACUCAGUGACAAAGUACUGACAAUUUUUUUUUUUUUGCAAAUGCAAUGCAUUGUAAGUCGAUGUAUGUCGCGAGGCAGCAAGAUUGCUACCAGCUUUCAGGCUUGUGUAUUACUAUUUCCCCUUCCUACAGUAUGUGUAUGUGAUAUUACUUUUGAAAUAUUCUUUUUUUUCAUGUCUGAUGCCAUGUGUUGCAAAUAAUAUUCUACAACAUCUAGGGAGAUUGAGUGAUUGACUUGAACUGUUCUCGUAUACAGCCACCUAGAGGUUCUAUUUGAUUCUGUUCAUAGGUUGGAGGUAAUGAUCGUAAAAACAUAUUGCUAAAACUAAUAGCCACCGGGAGAAUCCUCCCGGUCCGCCCCCCCCCCCCCCCCCCCCCCCCCCCCCGCAACACAGUUUAUUUAUUUUUUCAGUAAUAAAAAAAUAAUUAGGUAAAAAUGAAUGGUAUAAUUAUAAUUAAGAAAAUAAAAAUGCGUAAAAUAGGCCACAGUUCUGCUCUGUGCGAAAGAGAAUUGGUGCUCCGAGAAUUGGCGCACUUCCUUACAAGACCGGUAACCAUAGCAACUCCGGUAAACAAUAACGUCAAUGGUGGAGCUCUGGCUAACUGUUUGUCUGUCAAUUCACCUGCACAACUCGUUAAUGCCUGACUUCGGAAUAAAUCCGUUAUUUUUGAGCACUUAGAUGCAUCCCCCUCCAGCAUCCGCUUCUUCUUUAUUCUGGCCUUCUCAGCCCCUCCUUUCUCUUUUCUCUUCUUGCCUUCCAUGAGUGCCACAACAAGCAAAAGCAAGCAACCACGAACUUGCUCGCCUUCUCUGUCUGACGCGUCUUGCCGUCUUUAGGGUCAUGCCAUUAGACGUGGGGCUGCUCAUAUAUCCCCCUACAUUUCCAAAAAUUGACUUGACCUGCAAGCUGUUUAUUGGAUAAACGCAUUUCCCAAUCCCAGGAGUCUUUGCUCCAUUCUACGUAAAUUCAAGAACAAACUAAUUAAAAUAAACUGUAGUUCGUAUUAUUUAUUUAUGGCCAUGACAGUUCUGUAACGCCUGAAUAAUGAAGAAUUAAAUGAAGUAAAAAAUAUAUAUAUACAAAAAAAAACAUGAAUGAGACAUAGAGUCAACAAGUGGUAUAAAUAUUGGUUGGAUGUUCUCGAGACAUAUAUUGUUUAUUUCGGAGAUUUUCAGGGCUUCUUGACGCCUCGCGGCCGCUCACAACUGUGGGCCGGUCCAACUGACUUCGCAGGCCGCUACACAAUUGUGGGCCGGUCCACCUGAACUCGCUGGCCGGUGUUGUGCCGAAUUUCGACCCCCCUGCAUGUUACGACCCCCCUUCGCGGGAACGCGCAUUCGCUUAUUGUCAACGCCCCAUACUUUCGUUUAGUUCGAGGCGCUCUUCCUUCUGACAAUAUCGGUCUAAAUUAGUGUUUAUAUUCUAUCAGAACAUCACAAGUUGAGCAACUUAUCACAGAAAGCGAUGGCAUAUUUUAGAUUGUAAGUUUGAAGACGAACACAUCGCAAUGGAACCUCCGACGGCGACGACCCAUGUACGCUACAACAUUCACGAUAAUGAAC